ACUCCUACGGGAGGCAGCAGUGGGGAAUCUUAGACAAUGGGCGCAAGCCUGAUCUAGCCAUGCCGCGUGAGUGAUGAAGGUCUUAGGAUCGUAAAGCUCUUUCGCUGGGGAAGAUAAUGACGGUACCCAGUAAAGAAACCCCGGCUACUCCGUGCCAGCAGCCGCGGUAAUACGGAGGGGUUAGCGUUGUUCGGAAUUACUGGGCGUAAAGCGCACGUAGGCGGAUCGGAAAGUUGGGGUGAAAUCCCGGGGCUCAACCUGCGGAACUGCCUUGCAAAACUAUCGGUCUAGAAGUUCGAGAGAGGUGAGUGGAAUUGCGAGUGUAGAGGUGAAAUUCGUAGAUAUUCGCAGGAACACCAGUGGCGAAGGCGGCUCACUGGCUCGAUACUGACGCUGAGGUGCGAAAGUGUGGGGAGCAAACA
rnacentral:rRNA from 1 species